rnacentral:rRNA from 1 species
GACGAACGCUGGCGGCAUGCCUAAUACAUGCAAGUCGAACGAGACCUUCGGGUCUAGUGGCGCACGGGUGCGUAACGCGUGGGAACCUGCCCUUAGGUUCGGAAUAACUCCCCGAAAGGGGUGCUAAUACCGGAUAAUGUCUUCGGACCAAAGAUUUAUCGCCUUUGGAUGGGCCCGCGUUGGAUUAGCUAGUUGGUAGGGUAAAAGCCUACCAAGGCGACGAUCCAUAGCUGGUCUGAGAGGAUGAUCAGCCACACUGGGACUGAGACACGGCCCAGACUCCUACGGGAGGCAGCAGUGGGGAAUAUUGGACAAUGGGCGAAAGCCUGAUCCAGCAAUGCCGCGUGAGUGAUGAAGGCCUUAGGGUUGUAAAGCUCUUUUACCCGGGAUGAUAAUGACAGUACCGGGAGAAUAAGCUCCGGCUAACUCCGUG